CAAAGAGAUGCUUGCAUUCUAUAUACUGAUGCCACCUAGGAGUGUAAAUGCCCAGUGUCACACUGCUGAAUGGAGCAAGAAAGCAAACCAGACUCUGCACCCAUUUUGAUAAGGCAGUGGAUGAUGAGAUGCAACUUCUGGACCAGAAGUCAGUUCAACUGAAAAUCCUUUUGACCUUGACCUAAUGCUAGCUCAUCAGCCGAUCCAAGAAAUCUCACAUCAAUGGAUGCAAUAG